UUAAGCGACUAAGCGUACACGGUGGAUGCCCUGGCAGUCAGAGGCGAUGAAGGACGUGCUAAUCUGCGAUAAGCGUCGGUGAGGUGAUAUGAACCGUUAUAACCGGCGAUUUCCGAAUGGGGAAACCCAGUGUGAUUCGUCACACUAUCAUUAACUGAAUCCAUAGGUUAAUGAGGCGAACCGGGGGAACUGAAACAUCUAAGUACCCCGAGGAAAAGAAAUCAACCGAGAUUCCCCCAGUAGCGGCGAGCGAACGGGGAGGAGCCCAGAGCCUGAAUCAGUGUGUGUGUUAGUGGAAGCGUCUGGAAAGGCGCGCGAUACAGGGUGACAGCCCCGUACACAAAAAUGCACAUAUUGUGAGCUCGAUGAGUAGGGCGGGACACGUGGUAUCCUGUCUGAAUAUGGGGGGGACCAUCCUCCAAGGCUAAAUACUCCUGACUGACCGAUAGUGAACCAGUACCGUGAGGGAAAGGCGAAAAGAACCCCGGCGAGGGGAGUGAAAAAGAACCUGAAACCGUGUACGUACAAGCAGUGGGAGCCUCUUAAUGGGGUGACUGCGUACCUUUUGUAUAAUGGGUCAGCGACUUAUAUUCUGUAGCAAGGUUAACCGAAUAGGGGAGCCGAAGGGAAACCGAGUCUUAACUGGGCGUUAAGUUGCAGGGUAUAGACCCGAAACCCGGUGAUCUAGCCAUGGGCAGGUUGAAGGUUGGGUAACACUAACUGGAGGACCGAACCGACUAAUGUUGAAAAAUUAGCGGAUGACUUGUGGCUGGGGGUGAAAGGCCAAUCAAACCGGGAGAUAGCUGGUUCUCCCCGAAAGCUAUUUAGGUAGCGCCUCGUGAAUUCAUCUCCGGGGGUAGAGCACUGUUUCGGCAAGGGGGUCAUCCCGACUUACCAACCCGAUGCAAACUGCGAAUACCGGAGAAUGUUAUCACGGGAGACACACGGCGGGUGCUAACGUCCGUCGUGAAGAGGGAAACAACCCAGACCGCCAGCUAAGGUCCCAAAGUCAUGGUUAAGUGGGAAACGAUGUGGGAAGGCCCAGACAGCCAGGAUGUUGGCUUAGAAGCAGCCAUCAUUUAAAGAAAGCGUAAUAGCUCACUGGUCGAGUCGGCCUGCGCGGAAGAUGUAACGGGGCUAAACCAUGCACCGAAGCUGCGGCAGCGACACUAUGUGUUGUUGGGUAGGGGAGCGUUCUGUAAGCCUGUGAAGGUGGCCUGUGAGGGUUGCUGGAGGUAUCAGAAGUGCGAAUGCUGACAUAAGUAACGAUAAAGCGGGUGAAAAGCCCGCUCGCCGGAAGACCAAGGGUUCCUGUCCAACGUUAAUCGGGGCAGGGUGAGUCGACCCCUAAGGCGAGGCCGAAAGGCGUAGUCGAUGGGAAACAGGUUAAUAUUCCUGUACUUGGUGUUACUGCGAAGGGGGGACGGAGAAGGCUAUGUUGGCCGGGCGACGGUUGUCCCGGUUUAAGCGUGUAGGCUGGUUUUCCAGGCAAAUCCGGAAAAUCAAGGCUGAGGCGUGAUGACGAGGCACUACGGUGCUGAAGCGACAAAUGCCCUGCUUCCAGGAAAAGCCUCUAAGCAUCAGGUAACAUCAAAUCGUACCCCAAACCGACACAGGUGGUCAGGUAGAGAAUACCAAGGCGCUUGAGAGAACUCGGGUGAAGGAACUAGGCAAAAUGGUGCCGUAACUUCGGGAGAAGGCACGCUGAUAUGUAGGUGAAGCGACUUGCUCGUGGAGCUGAAAUCAGUCGAAGAUACCAGCUGGCUGCAACUGUUUAUUAAAACACAGCACUGUGCAAACACGAAAGUGGACGUAUACGGUGUGACGCCUGCCCGGUGCCGGAAGGUUAAUUGAUGGGGUUAGCGGUAACGCGAAGCUCUUGAUCGAAGCCCCGGUAAACGGCGGCCGUAACUAUAACGGUCCUAAGGUAGCGAAAUUCCUUGUCGGGUAAGUUCCGACCUGCACGAAUGGCGUAAUGAUGGCCAGGCUGUCUCCACCCGAGACUCAGUGAAAUUGAACUCGCUGUGAAGAUGCAGUGUACCCGCGGCAAGACGGAAAGACCCCGUGAACCUUUACUAUAGCUUGACACUGAACAUUGAGCCUUGAUGUGUAGGAUAGGUGGGAGGCUUUGAAGUGUGGACGCCAGUCUGCAUGGAGCCGACCUUGAAAUACCACCCCUUUAAUGUUUGAUGUUCUAACGUGGGCCCCUUACCGGGGUUGCGGACAGUGUCUGGUGGGUAGUUUGACUGGGGCGGUCUCCUCCUAAAGAGUAACGGAGGAGCACGAAGGUUGGCUAAUCCGGUCGGACAUCAGGAGGUUAGUGCAAUGGCAUAAGCCAGCUUGACUGCGAGCGUGACGGCGCGAGCAGGUGCGAAAGCAGGUCAUAGUGAUCCGGUGGUUCUGAAUGGAAGGGCCAUCGCUCAACGGAUAAAAGGUACUCCGGGGAUAACAGGCUGAUACCGCCCAAGAGUUCAUAUCGACGGCGGUGUUUGGCACCUCGAUGUCGGCUCAUCACAUCACGGGGCUGAAGUAGGUCCCAAGGGUAUGGCUGUUCGCCAUUUAAAGUGGUACGCGAGCUGGGUUUAGAACGUCGUGAGACAGUUCGGUCCCUAUCUGCCGUGGGCGCUGGAGAACUGAGGGGGCUGCUCCUAGUACGAGAGGACCGGAGUGGACGCAUCACUGGUGUUCGGGUUGUCAUGCCAAUGGCACUGCCCGGUAGCUAAAUGCGGAAGAGAUAAGUGCUGAAAGCAUCUAAGCACGAAACUUGCCCCGAGAUGAGUUCUCCCUGACUCCUUGAGAGUCCUGAAGGAACGUUGAAGACGACGACGUUGAUAGGCCGGGUGUGUAAGCGCAGCGAUGCGUUGAGCUAACCGGUACUAAUGAACCGUGAGGCUUAACCU
rnacentral:rRNA from 1 species